rnacentral:rRNA from 1 species
GCUCAGAUUGAACGCUGGCGGUAGGCCUAACACAUGCAAGUCGAACGGCAGCAGACCGUGACAAUCCCUUCGGGGUGCGUUUGGUGCUGGCGAGUGGCGGACGGGUGAGUAACACGUAGGAAUCUGCCCAACAGUGGGGGACAACCCGAGGAAACUCGGGCUAAUACCGCAUACGCCCUACGGGGGAAAGCGGGGGACUUUCGAGCCUCGCGCUGAUGGAUGAGCCUGCGUCGGAUUAGCUUGUUGGUGAGGUAACGGCUCACCAAGGCGACGAUCCGUAGCUGGUCUGAGAGGAUGAUCAGCCACACUGGGACUGAGACACGGCCCAGACUCCUACGGGAGGCAGCAGUGGGGAAUAUUGCACAAUGGGCGAAAGCCUGAUGCAGCCAUACCGCGUGGGUGAAGAAGGCCUUAGGGUUGUAAAGCCCUUUCAGUUGGGAAGAAAAGGUCAGGGAUAAUACCCUUGGCUCUUGACGGUACCUACAGAAGAAGCACCGGCUAACUCAGUGCCAGCAGCCGCGGUAAUACUGAGGGUGCAAGCGUUAAUCGGAAUUACUGGGCGUAAAGCGCGCGUAGGCGGUCUGGUCAGUCAGAUGUGAAAGCCCCGGGCUUAACCUGGGAACUGCAUUUGAAACUGCCAGACUAGAGUGUGGUAGAGGGAAGUGGAAUUCCGCGUGGAGCGGUGAAAUGCGUAGAGAUGCGGAGGAACACCAGUGGCGAAGGCGACUUCCUGGACCAACACUGACGCUCAGGUGCGAAAGCGUGGGGAGCAAACAGGAUUAGAUACCCUGGUAGUCCACGCCGUAAACGAUGUCUACUAGCCGUUGGGGAGCUUGUCUCCUUCGUGGCGCAAGCUAACGCGAUAAGUAGACCGCCUGGGGAGUACGGUCGCAAGACUAAAACUC